AUUGAACGCUAGCGGGAUGCUUUACACAUGCAAGUCGAACGAGGGGCGGAGGGGUGAGUAAUAUAGCGGAACGUGCCCAGUAGCGGGGGAUAUCUACUCGAAAGAGGGGCUAACACCGCAAACUCUUGGAGCGGCCGAUAUGGGAUUAGCUAGUUGGUGGGGAAAAGGCUCACCAAGGCAGAGAUCCCUAGCUGGUUUGAGAGGAAGAACAGCCACACUGGGACUGAGACACGGCCCAGACUCCUACGGGAGGCAGCAGUGGGGAAUAUUGGCCAAUGGGGGAAACCCUGAUCCAGCCAUCCCGCGUGUAUGAGAAGGCCUUCGGGUUGUAAAGUACUUUUGGCAGAGAAGCGGUAUCUGCAGAAUAAGCACCGGCUAACUACGUGCCAGCAGCCGCGGUAAUAC
rnacentral:rRNA from 1 species